GCCAAUCCCCACCCAAAAUGAGGUCACACCCUUCUGUGGCUAAUACUCUAGGUGAGUAUGUGAAUGUGUGUUGCUGGAUGUUCCAUUUAAAACCCUUGAUCUAUUUUGAGCUGACCAUUCUGUCACCAUUAGCUGCCUUCACCAAGAUAGGUUUAAUAGGUUAUGUAGAACAAUUAAGCUUUCUCACUGUUGUCUCACUAAUAAAACUCAACGUACUACCUGAGUCUAUCAAUAUAUUAAUUUUGUGUCCAUUAACUUCUCCAAUCACUCUCAUAGUAGUUGGCCCUCCUUCUCCUAGGAUAGCACUGAGGGCUACAGCCACUUCUUCUAUGGUUUUUGCUUCAAAUUCCCCAUCAACUUCUUCAGCCUCAGCCUGCAUCAAUUCCAGCUCUUCUUCUUCAGUCAUUAUAAGGUUUCAAGAAUUUAAAGGGUACCUUUGAUGCAUCUCCACUCACUUUCUGUGGAACAAUGGGUGUUACAGUUCUGCCCUUCUCAUAAACUGGCCCGACCCAUUAUUACUCUUGUAGUUACCUUUCAAUUUUCUUGUGAGUGCAUCAAGGGUGAGUAGUUGAUUUCUCCCCAACUCAAUUGCUUGGCUUAGAGUGAUAGGAUUAAACAUCCUAAUGAAGGAUUGUAGCUCUUCCCCUAGCCCACUUACAAAGCUGGCAAUAAAGUAUUCUUCUGAAAAUUCACCCCCAUUAACAAGUAACAUGCAUGCUCUGAGUUCCUCAAAUUUGUCCACAUAAUCAGCAUAAUUACCAGUCAUUCUUAAUUUGUUAAAUUCUGCCACAAUCUUAGUCUCUUUGAGUUCCUCAAACCUUGCUGAAAUCAGAUCAACAAAUUGAUCCCAAUUUAGCUCAUAAGGUUUACCAGAUAGGUUCUGGAACCAUAGUGAAGCCUUUCCCUCAAAGUGCAUAGCAGCCAUCCUCACUUUUUGGGAAUCAGGUAGAGUAGGAAUUAAAUCAAAAUAGCCCCUGCACUUCAAGAUCCAAGCCCUCGGAUAAAUUCCACCAAAUCUAGGGAAAUCAAGCUUUGGUAAGGGAGUGGAGUGAUUAUGGGACUUCCUCCACCCCCUUCACCCUACAAUCUGUACUUGUGAGAAUAAGGAGUUUUUCCCCCACUACCCCACUAAUGCUCAUGAUCCCCUAAGAUCGACUCAGAACCCUGACCCCCACUACCUUUACUCAUAUUCAAUAACUGUAAUUGUAAAGAUGCUAGGGUAGAGGUUAAGUGUUCAAAUUUACCAUCUACACGUGAAAGAUGUUUCUGCAUUUCAUCAGCCAUUUUAUUCAUCUUUUCCUGCAUUUUGACUUCAGUUGCCUCCCUUUUGAACGAUUUUGCUUGUAAUACUUGAUCUAACUUCUUUUGUGCCUCUUGUAGGUCUUUAAAUCUCGUAACAUCAGCCAUCGCCCGAGGAUCGAUUGCUCUGAAUACCAACUGUUAUGAUCUAAGUUGAAAUUAUAAGUUUUAUGUAAUGUUGCAGCAAAUUUCUGGAAAUGUAAAGAGAGAUAGUGUGUAGAAUAUUGAGGAGGCGGUAGAAAGAGAAAGUAGGUAGAAAAUUGGACAAUUCUUUUCAUAAACCCUACUGUUGCAAACUUACAGCAUAUAAGAAAUGGGAAGUGGUCCCCUUCUGGUAAA